AUGGUUUUCACCACCAGAUGACAACACACUACAAACAUGGUAACAUUUUCGGACUAUUUUCUAGGAUCAGAGGCCCAUCUGUUAUUUUCGCUGAACCUGGACGCCCGUACGUGCAAUCCCAGCCAUUAUCCAUAAGAAGCAGAUUAGCAUUCACAUGCUAAAAAGCUAUUUUUUCAGUUGUUGAAUUUGAUGGCAUUGUUGCAUAACGUUCCUCUUCGGUCUUUUCUUGCAUCGUUGAAAAGGAACGCCAUUUCUUUAACCUUCCCUCUUAUUGCUGCCGGUCUCAUCUACUCUGAUUAUUCGUACACUCAAAGGUGUAAAGCACGAGACAUCGCCAGAAACCAAGAACUAAAAAACCUUGAAAAUGUCGAUUAUGAGUAGAGAACUUUCUAUGACAUGGAAAUAUUUGAUGAGGCCGAAAAAUGCUAUGGCCAUCGUCCCACUCAUUGGCCUUUACGUUGGAUGGAAAA